GGUUCCACAGCUCAGUGGUAGAGCAAUUGACUGCAGAUCAAUAGGUCUCCCGUUCGAACCCCCGGUAGGGCCU
rfam:Brassica napus, WGS project CCCW01000000 data, contig: 17467